GCAUCCAUAGCUCAGCUGGAUAGAGCACCGGUUUUCUAAACCGUAGGUCAUAGGUUCGAAUCCUAUUGGGUGUACAA
rnacentral:tRNA from 2 species